AUGGCAUACGAUAUGCUCCAUGAGAUUAGCAAUCAGAAGGAUUCCUGGAAAGUCAAGGUCAGAAUAAUUAGGCUAUGGGAUGCCAUUAAUCUCAACAACAAUGAACUAAUUAGCCUUGACAUGAUACUACUUGAUGAAGAGGGUACUAUGAUACAUGGCAAGGUAAUGAAGCAUAUGUUUAACAAGUUUAGACCAUUGAUCCAAGAAGGUUUAGUCUACAUGAUAGCAAAUUUUAAGGUUAUGUCUGCAAUAAAUUUAUGUCCAGUUGAAAGCGAAAAGGUUCUAAAUUUCUUGCACACGACAAAAAUUCAAGAGAUAAAAGGUCAAAAAAAUAUCAAAAUAGCAGAACAAAGCUUCACGUUUUGUACUGUUGAAGUUCUUUCCACAAGAGACAGCCAAAAGAUUUACUUAUCUGAUGUCAUUGGCAUAGCAAGUUACAUAGGACAUAUUGAAGAAACACAGACAACCCACGGGAUUUCAAAGAUUCAAGAUAUUGUGCUUUGA
rnacentral:rRNA from 1 species